rnacentral:rRNA from 1 species
GACGAACGCUGGCGGCGUGCUUAACACAUGCAAGUCGAACGGAAAGGCCCUGCUUUUGUGGGGUGCUCGAGUGGCGAACGGGUGAGUAACACGUGAGUAACCUGCCCUUGACUUUGGGAUAACUUCAGGAAACUGGGGCUAAUACCGGAUAGGAGCUCCUGCUGCAUGGUGGGGGUUGGAAAGUUUCGGCGGUUGGGGAUGGACUUGCGGCUUAUCAGCUUGUUGGUGGGGUAGUGGCUUACCAAGGCUUUGACGGGUAGCCGGCCUGAGAGGGUGGCCGGCCACAUUGGGACUGAGAUACGGCCCAGACUCCUACGGGAGGCAGCAGUGGGGAAUAUUGCACAAUGGGCGGAAGCCUGAUGCAGCAACGCCGCGUGCGGGAUGACGGCCUUCGGGUUGUAAACCGCUUUCGCCUGUGACGAAGCGUGAGUGACGGUAAUGGGUAAAGAAGCACCGGCUAACUACGUG